rfam:Ignavibacteria bacterium CG1_02_37_35 cg1_0.2_scaffold_2822_c, whole genome shotgun sequence.
ACUUUCGUAGCUCAAUGGAUAGAGCAGUAGUUUCCUAAUCCCGACUUGUCGGGACGGAGGUCCGAUUCCUCUCGAGGGUA